rnacentral:rRNA from 1 species
GACGAACGCUGGCGGCGUGCCUAAUACAUGCAAGUCGAACGCUUCUUUCCUCCCGAGUGCUUGCACUCAAUUGGAAAGAGGAGUGGCGGACGGGUGAGUAACACGUGGGUAACCUACCCAUCAGAGGGGGAUAACACUUGGAAACAGGUGCUAAUACCGCAUAACAGUUUAUGCCGCAUGGCAUAAGAGUGAAAGGCGAUUUCGGGAGUCGCUGAUGGUUGGUCCCGCGGUGCAUUAGCUAGUUGGUGAGGUAACGGCUCACCAAGGCCACGAUUCAUAGCCGACCUGGAAGGGUGAUCGGCCACACGGGGACUGGGACACGGCCCAGACUCCUACGGGAGGCAGCAGUAGGGAAUCUUCGGCAAUGGACGAAAGUCUGACCGAGCAACGCCGCGUGAGUGAAGAAGGUUUUCGGUUCGUAAAACUCUGUUGUUAGAGAAGAACAAGGACGUUAGUAACUGAACGUCACCUGACGGUAUCUAACCAGAAAGCCACGGCUAACUACGUG